rnacentral:lncRNA from 1 species
GUUUAUUAGUUUCUUUGUGUAAUAGAAUAAUGUGCUACAUAUACAGAAAUUGCAUAUCCCCUAUACGUAUUGUAUUGUAAUCCCUUCCAGAUUUACUACUAGACUUGAAUUAAGGCAAAAAAGAUUACAUAAAAUGAACAAAAACCCUCAACUCUCUUCUGACAGCUAGAGCGAGACCUGGCUUGACACUUUCUGAAGGGUACAACAGUAAAUGAGAAAGUUCACAUUGCAACAUUGACCGCUACACGAGAAAGUCUUCUGCGGCCUCGAAAACCUCGCGGCGACCGCCGGAUGCUCCAAAGUCAAGAUCCUCCGCAGACAGGAAAUGCCUUCGCCAGCUCCAAGGUCUCCUCCCCGCAGCCGUCUCUAUUGUCUGGGGAGGUUUGUGUACAUCCGACUGAAGAGGUUUCCCGCCUGCAACUGCGAAUCAAAGAGCUGCCUCAAAAGGAGGGAAUCCGUGGGGGCUUUCCAGCUUUUCUAGCUAACCCUUGGCGCCUGUUGUGUGCCAGGCCUGUGCACACCUCUCUGCUUAAGGACCCAGGACUGAUGUUCCCAGAACUCUAAAGUCACAGGCAAUUCCAGGGGCCUUCUGGGAAUCUAACAGGUAAGAU